rnacentral:rRNA from 1 species
UAAUACUGAGGUCCCAAGCGUUGUUCGGGUUUACUGGGCGUAAAGGGUGCGUAGGCGGCUAUGAAAGUUUGGUGUGAAAUCUCCGGGCUCAACCCGGAAACUGCAUUGAAAACUAGAUGGCUAGAGGAUCGGAGAGGAGAUUGGAAUUCUCAGUGUAGCAGUGAAAUGCGUAGAUAUUGAGAGGAACACCAGUUGCGAAGGCGGAUCUCUGGACGACUUCUGACGCUGAGGCACGAAAGCUGGGGUAGCGAAGAGGAUUAGAUACCCUCGUAGUCCCAGCCGUAAACGGUGCGCACUUGCUGAGGCCGGAUUCGACCCCGUCCGUGGCGAAGCUAACGCGUUAAGUGCGCCGCCUGGGGAGUACGGCCGCCAGAUUAAAACUCAUAGAAAUUGACGGGGGCCUGCACAAGCGGUGGAGUAUGUGGCUUAAUUCGAUGCAACGCGAAGAACCUUACCUGSCCUUGACAUGUAGUGGACCGGGUGCGAAAUCACCCUUUCCUUCGRSWCUGCUACACAGGUGCUGCAUGGCUGUCGUCAGCUCGUGUCGUGAGAUCUUGGGUUAAGUCCCGCAACGAGCGCAACCCGAGUGUUAUGUUGCCUCCCGGAUAAGAAUCCGGAGCACUCUGGUCAGACUGCCUGGUUUCAACCAGGCAGAAGGUGGGGAUGACGUCAAGUCAGUAUGGCCCUCACGGCCAGGGCUGCACACGUAGCCAAUGCCUGAUAUAAUGGGAAGCGAGAUCGCGAGGUGGAGCAAAUCCUCAAAAUCAGGCCCAGUUCAGAUUGUAGGCUGCAACUCGCCUACAUGAAGGAGGAAUCGCUAGUAAUGCCGUAUCAGCCGGACGGCGUGAAUACGUUCCCAGGCGUUGUACACACCGGCCGUCACAUCAUGAAAAUCGAUUGUACCCGAAGUCGAUGCGUUAACCGCAAGGAGACAGGCGCCGAAGGUAUGGUAGGUAAUAGGGAUAAAGUCGUA